ACUUAAAAAUGUAAAAAACUACCUUUGUAUGCAUCCUACAUUUUCCUCUCCCUGCAAUCUUCUUUUCAAGCACAUACAUUCUCUAUUUCUUACUAACUUGAAUCUUUUUUUUUCAAGCACGGAGAUAUAGAUGGAGAGGGUGACAAGAAGAUCAGUUUCUUUGUUCGUAUGGAGUGUGAUUGUUGUAUCCGCAGCUUUUCGCCCUUCAAAGAGUACUACUGUGUCAGCGGCAGUGUCGACAACCAUCACCAUAGCAAGUAGGAAUGUGGAUGAUGGGGGCAACACCUCCAAUAUUGCCGUAGAAGAAGUUGACGAAAUGAUGUACAUCAAGUCUUCCUUCCAAUAUUCCAAAGAAAUUCUGAAGACCUGGAUACCCAAAUCCGAUCCAUGUGAUUUUGCAUGGGUUGCUUGUUUAGGCGGUUCAGUGAGUAGCAUGUUAGUAC